rnacentral:rRNA from 1 species
UACGUAGGGGGCAAGCGUUGUCCGGAUUUAUUGGGCGUAAAGAGCGUGUAGGCGGUUCGAUAGGUCCGUUGUGAAAACUCGAGCUCAACCUCGAGACGCCGAUGGAAACCCUCGAACUAGAGUCCGGAAGAGGAGAAUGGAAUUCCUGGUGUAGCGGUGAAAUGCGCAGAUAUCAGGAAGAACACCCGUGGCUAAGGCGGUUCUCUAGUACGGUACUGACGCUGAGACGCGAAAGCGUGGGGAGCGAACAGG